GCCGGGGUGGCCGAGCGGCCCAAGGCGCGGGCCUGGAGAUAAGGGUCAAAGACCCGUCCGAGAGAGUCCGUCCCCGCAAGGGGGCGUGGGUUCAAAUCCCACCCCCGGCG
rnacentral:tRNA from 1 species